UACGUAGGGUGCAAGCGUUGUCCGGAAUUAUUGGGCGUAAAGAGCUCGUAGGCGGUCUGUCGCGUCUGCUGUGAAAACUCAGGGCUUAACCCUGAGCUUGCAGUGGGUACGGGCAGACUAGAGUGCGGUAGGGGGAGACUGGAAUUCCUGGUGUAGCGGUGAAAUGCGUAGAGAUCCGGAGGAACACCAGUGGCGAAGGCGACACGCUGGGCCGUACCUGACACUGAUGCGCGACAGCAUGGGGAGCAAACAGG
rnacentral:rRNA from 1 species